rnacentral:rRNA from 1 species
CAAGGAUUCCCCUAGUAACUGCGAGUGAAGCGGGAAAAGCUCAAAUUUAAAAUCUGGCAGUCUUUGAUUGUCCGAGUUGUAAACUAGAGAAGUGUUAUCCGCGCUGGACCGUGUAAAAGUCUCCUGGAAUGGAGCAUCAUAGAGGGUGAGAAUCCCGUCUUUGACAUGGACUACCAGUGCUUUGUGAUGCGCUCUCAAAGAGUCGAGUUGUUUGGGAAUGCAGCUCAAAAUGGGUGGUAAAUUCCAUCUAAAGCUAAAUAUUGGCGAGAGACCGAUAGCGAACAAGUACCGUGAGGGAAAGAUGAAAAGAACUUUGGAAAGAGAGUUAAACAGUACGUGAAAUUGCUGAAAGGGAAACGCUUGAAGUCAGUCGCGUCGGCCAGGAAUCAACCUUGCUUUUGCUGGGCGUACUUUCUGGUUGACGGGUCAGCAUCAAUUUUGACUGCUGGAAAAAGUUCAAGGGAAUGUGGCAUCUUCGGAUGUGUUAUAGCCCUUGUUCGCAUACAGCAGUUGGGAUUGAGGUACUCAGCACGCCGCAAGGCCGGGUUUCGACCACGUUCGUGCUUAGGAUGCUGGCAUAAUGGCUUUAAUCGACCCGUCUUGAAACACGGACCAAGGAGUCUAACAUGCCUGCGAGUGUUUGGGUGGAAAACCCAAGCGCGCAAUGAAAGUAAAAGUUGAGAUCCCUGUCAUGGGGAGCAUCGACGCCCGGACCAGAGCUUUUGUGACGGAUCUGCGGUAGAGCAUGUAUGUUGGGACCCGAAAGAUGGUGAACUAUGCCUGAAUAGGGUGAAGCCAGAGGAAACUCUGGUGGAGGCUCGUAGCGAUUCUGACGUGCAAAUCGAUCGUCAAAUUUGGGUAUAGGGGCGAAAGACUAAUC